GACGAACGCUGGCGGCGUGCUUAACACAUGCAAGUCGAGCGGUAAGGCCCUUUCGGGGGUACGACGAGCGGCGAACGGGUGAGUAACACGUGGGUGACCUGCCCUCAGCUCUGGGAGUAAGCCCGGGAAACGUAGGGUCUAAUACCGGAUAUGACUUCAUGACGCAUGUUGUGGAGUGGAAAGCCUUGUGCGGCUGAGGAUGGGCCCGCGGCCUAUCAGCUUGUUGGUGGGGUGAGG
rnacentral:rRNA from 1 species